UAUUCACGAAAAACUCUAUGAUUGGUUUUCCUUUGUCUUUAUGUUAUCUGGAAAACGUUUUGGUAGCGAUCGUAGUAAGCAUAAGUUUCAACCAAAACGUUUUGCUUUUCUUUUGAUCAAAAAAAAAAUGCUUUGUCUUUCAAACCAUCACGUAACAACCACCACCAGGCCUUGCUGCGUUGAGACUGAUUUCCCUACAAUGUUCCAUCUCUUCUCUCCUUAUACAUCUCCACCAACGGCUUUGACUAUGUCCUUUCUCCACUGGCCGAGCUUAGUGGAAGGAACCCAGGUUCAACCAGUCUCUGGCUCUGAAUUACUCUUAGCACCUUUUCAGUGGAGCCGCGUUGCCAUGCCUUCUUCCUACAACUGAAGGGACCCCGUGUGCCAAUUAUGCCAGAUUUGUGAACCAGAUCUUACAAGGUCUGACUUACUUGCAGUUUUGUUAAAUGUCAUUCUACCAUGAAGUUAUGGCUGAGGGCUCCGCUGGUGAAGUCUCAUGAUUUAUGUGCUUACCGGGCGGCGUUUUCUGUUUCCUGCAAUUACAUCACAAGAGCUUUGUUACGAAUCUGGAAUACGGCAAGACUGUUAUUUUGCUACGAGAGGUAAGGUUGAGUUCUCCGGAUUCGGAUGCUGUUUGCUACAUGACUGUUAUAAGAGGCUUAUGCGAGGGGAAACAAUUGGAGAAAGCAUUGGAAUUGUUGAAUGAUAUGCAAGGCAUCCAAAAUAAGCAUUUAUAAUCUUGCUUGCAACAAGCCAUAAAUUUUUGCUGCAAAACUUUGGGGUCUUGAGUGCCUUUUUUGAGAUAAUCAGGGGAUAUCAUGCCUCCUAAUGGAGUGAUGGUUGCUAUGGAAAUUUGCACUGCCUAACGUAAAAAUAGAGGCCCCGACACUUGAGUCUGAAGCUCAAGAAUACAUAAUGAAGCCUGCUUACUUUGUUUCUCAUAAUGUGCUUUACUAACUUGAAUAUGGGAAAACCAAGCCCAUUUCAACAUCGCAAGCAUUAAGAAAAGUUAAACUCGGUGUCAAAAGCUGCAAAGAUAAAGUAAGCCAAUAUAGCAUCAUAUUUGUAUUAACUAUUUAGUUCACAUGAGAGCAUCAUAAUAAGAUGUCAAGCCAUUCUUCACUGUUAUAUCACAAUAUUUAUUUCUUUAAACGAAUAAAUUAAAACGACUACCUCUUCUAUUACGUUUUUUUCUAUUACGUUUUUCUUUUCUUUUAUUUUCUUUAUAUAUGCGACUAAAAGUAGAUCUCAUCACUACUAUGAUUCUUUUUUCGGUCAAAUCUCACUACUAUGAUUCUUUUUUGGGUCAAAUCUCACUACUAUGAUUUUAUUUCAUUUUAUAUUACUAGCUUAAUUGGGUAUUUUGUUGUUUCUUGGUGUAUAAGGGCCGGUUGCUCAAGAGAUUAAAAAUGUCCUUAAGAGAUUUGAAUUUGGGAUCUGGUCCUCUGCUUAGGGGUCAAGACAGUGUUCCAACAGUGGAUUCAAUACAAUAGAGCACAUUGGUAGACUUCUACUCUUCAGUGAUUUCUUAAGUGUUCAGAGGUUCAAAGAGUUCUCUGCUUCAAACACUUUCUCCACUGAGGAUGAACCUUACAAAGGUCUUAGUAAUCUGGUUAUCCCCUGCAGGAGAAUUAUGUUCUUACUUGGAUGAUCUGGCAAAUUUAUUGGAUAUUCAGGC